rnacentral:siRNA from 1 species
CAUCACGGUCAGACAAAACAGAG